rnacentral:rRNA from 1 species
AUGGCCGCCGCCCAUUUCACGCUCAACACCGGCGCCCGCGUCCCCUCCGUGGGCCUCGGCACCUACAAGGCCGCCCCGGGGGUCAUCGCCGACGUGCUCAGCGCCGCCGUCAAGGCAGGGUACCGGCACAUCGACUGCGCGCCGCUCUACCACAACGAGAAGGAGAUUGGUGUUGCUCUGAAGAGGCUCUUCGACGAUGGCGUGGUCAGGCGAGAGGACCUCUUCAUCACUUCCAAGAUAUGGUGCAGCGAUCUCGCACCCGAAGACGUUCCGCUCGCAAUCGACAGCACGUUGAAAGAUCUGCAGCUGGAUUAUGUGGAUCUAUACCUAAUCCAUUGGCCAUUCCAGGUGAAGAAAGGCACCGAAAUUAGCCCCGAGAACUUUAUGCAACCUGACAUACCCAAGACCUGGCAAGCCAUGGAGCAGCUGUACGAUUCAGGCAAGGCUCGCGCCAUCGGCGUGAGCAAUUUUUCCUCCAAGAAGCUAGGUGAUCUGCUUGGCGUUGCCCGGGUCCCUCCGGCCGUUGAUCAGGUCGAGUGCCACCUUGGCUGGCAACAGGCGAAGCUGAGAGCGUUUUGCCACUCCAAUGGGGUUCAUCUAUCGGCGUACGCGCCCUUGGGCAGGAUGAAAGACGUAUCGAGUAACCCGGUGGUAACAUCAGUAGCCGAGAGCCUGGGAAGAACUCCGGCACAGAUAGCUUUGCGAUGGGGUCUUCAACAGUGUCAGAGUGUACUUCCCAAGAGUGCUAAUGAGUCGAGGUUGAAGGAGAACAUUGAUCUGUUUGACUGGUCUAUUCCAGAAGAACUGUGCACCAAGCUUUCUGAAAUAAAACAGGUUAAGCAAAUCAGGGGGGAUUCUUUUGUGCACCCUCAAAGCAUUUACAAAACCUACGAAGAGCUCUUCGACGGAGAAAUUUGA